GGGGUAGAUGAUUGGGGUGAAGUCGUAACAAGGUAGCCGUAUCGGAAGGUGCGGCUGGAUCACCUCCUUUCUAAGGAA
rnacentral:rRNA from 1 species